GUCUUCGUGGUGUAGUGGUCUGCAUGCUCGUCGCCUAACCAAGAGUUUCAUGGUUCGAUUCCCUGCGAAGGCG
rnacentral:tRNA from 1 species